CGCGUGCACUGGUUCGGCCGGGCCUUUCCCUCUGGGGAACCGCAUGCCCUUCACUGGGUGUGUCGGGGAACCAGGACUUUUACUUUGAACAAAUUAGAUCGCUUAAAGAAGGCCUAUGCUCGAAUACAUUAGCAUGGAAUAAUAGAAUAGGACGUGUGGUUCUAUUUUGUUGGUUUCUAGGACCGCCGUAAUGAUUAAUAGGGACAGUCGGGGGCAUCAGUAUUCAAUUGUCAGAGGUGAAAUUCUUGGAUUUAUUGAAGACUAACUACUGCGAAAGCAUUUGCCAAGGAUGUUUUCAUUAAUCAGGAACGAAAGUUAGGGGAUCGAAGACGAUCAGAUACCGUCGUAGUCUUAACCAUAAACUAUGCCGACUAGGGAUCGGACGAUGUUAUAUUUUGACUCGUUCGGCACCUUACACGAAAGUAAAGUUUCUGGGUUCUGGGGGGAGUAUGGUCGCAAGGCUGAAACUUAAAGAAAUUGACGGAAGGGCACCACCAGGGGUGGAGCCCGCGGCUUAAUUUGACUCAACACGGGGAAACUCACCAGGUCCAGACACAAGUAGGAUUGACAGAUUGAGAGCUCUUUCUUGAUUUUGUGGGUGGUGGUGCAUGGGCCGUUCUUAGUUGGUGGAGUGAUUUGUCUGCUUAAUUGCGAUAACGAACGAGACCUUAACCUGCUAAAUAGCCCGUAUUGCUUUGGCAGUACGCUGGCUUCUUAGAGGGACUAUCGG
rnacentral:rRNA from 1 species